CUGCAAAGGAAACCAAAGCGUAUACAGAUUAAGAACUUGCAAGGUCACAAGUAAGUGGCAGAGCUGUGAUUCAAACCAUCACCACUAGAGAUGACAACUGAAGCGGAGAAAAAUUAAGCGGUUUGCUCAAGAUCACAUAACCAGAGAUUUUAAGUCAUAGGGAUGAAGUUGUAGGGUAUUGACUACUGGAGAAAUAUUGGUUACAGGUCAAUUGCUCCCAGGACUCUUACUGGUCAGAUACUCUGUAUUUUCUAUGCUUUAUUGGGGGAAGGCAGGGUCACCGCCAUUUUCAGGACUUUGGAAAUACCUUCAGAAUAUGGGAAUGGGAGUAAUGUUUACUAAAUAUUUUUUGUUUUCUUACAUAUACUUGGGUUCACAACCUUACUUAAAAUAUGUA